UACAGAGGUCUCAAGCGUUGUUCGGAUCAUUGGGCGUAAAGGGUGCGUAGGCGGCGCGGUAAGUCGGGUGUGAAAUCUCGGAGCUUAACUCCGAAACUGCAUUCGAUACUGCCGUGCUUGAGGACUGGAGAGGAGACUGGAAUUUACGGUGUAGCGGUGAAAUGCGUAGAUAUCGUAAGGAAGACCAGUGGCGAAGGCGGGUCUCUGGACAGUUCCUGACGCUGAGGCACGAAGGUCAGGGGAGCAAACGG
rnacentral:rRNA from 1 species